AAAAAGCCAAACCAGGAGACGUCAACACCACUCCAAAGUCUCUCUUCAACGUGUCCGCACUUACUCCCGAGGCCACCUCCUGCUCUCCCACACUCCUGACCCUCGACUUCCCCUCGUCUUUCCUUCGCGACCAUCGACUUCCGCAUCACGCCGGCGCCAGCCACCGCCCGCGGCCUAGCACCAUCCUCACGAGACCUCCUCACUCCUGUUCAUCGCCAGCACCGUCGCCUUCUGCUUGCGCUUCCAUCGCCAGAUCCCGGAACUGCUCAGCGCGCCGCAGCCCCGGUAAGCGGUGGACGGCGAGGAGCGGCCACAUCCCGGUCUGCCAAGCUGCUGCGGCGUCUCAGGCUACAAGGAGGCUGGCUGCCGGUGUGGCAGGCUGCGUGCGUCGUCAGAUCCCGGAACUGCUCGGUGCGCCGCAGCCCCGGUGCGCGGUGGACGGCGAGGAGCGGACGCAUCCCGGUCUGCCAACCUGCUGCGGCGUCUCAAGCUACGAGGAUGUCGGCUUCCGCUGUGGCAGUCUGCGUGCGUCGCCAGAUCCCGGAACUGUUGGGCGCGCCGCAGCCCCGGUGCGAGGUGGACGGCGAGGAGCAACUGCAGCCCAGUCUGCCAAGCCGCUGCGGCGGGCUGCGAAGACGCCGGCUGCUGCUGUGGCACACUGCGUCCGGGUUAAGCACAGAUACACAAGCUGGGCUGUUGAAACGUGGGAUUACAUUUGACAAGUUACUAACUGUUCCUGAGAAUGAUAGUUCGGUCGAUGAAGAUGCAUGGCCAGUCAGCAUCCUGUAUAGCUCUUUGACCAUAUUACCAGCUCCGUUGAAGUUACUGAAUUCACAAUUGUUGAGAAUUCCCGUGUAAGUAAAGGAAUGGACUACUUUACUGCUUUGCUUAUAUCUAUGUGAUGAAAAGUUUUGAAAAAUAAUGCGUCCCGGCGGUCGCUAGCGGGCAGCCACAUGGCCUGCAUCCAUGUUGGCCACACGCGCGGCUCCGUCGAGCCAUCCUAUAGUGGCGCUCAGGCGUCUCAGGUUGCAAGCGGCGAGCCUAUGCAGCCGAGCGGCCAUGUGGUCAUGUCCUUGGUGGCCGAACGCGCCACACUGUGGUGUAUCGCCACCGUCAGGUUGCUAGCUUGGGAAUGCGCGCGAGGCCUAUUGUGCGCGCGUGCUCACCUUCGAUGUGACCCUGUUGCGUGCUCUCAUGAACAACUACAUCGUCGAGGUUGUCAAUGUCUAUUGUUUUGAUUUUAUAACUUGUUUUGAGUUUGGAUUUGGAUUGUUGUGCUGUGUGGAUUUUGAUUCAGACUUGAUUUGGUCCUGGGCACCUUGUAGAUUUGGGCUUGCCGAUUUUGGAAAAUCCUUGUAUAAAUUUAGUAGAUUUGAGAAAACCUAUUUAAUUUUAGAUUGGGACAGUCCACACGAAAUUUGAGUCUAAAUUUUUGUCA